GGCCUUGACAUACUAAGAACUUUCCAGAGAUGGAUUGGUGCCUUCGGGAACUUAGAUACAGGUGCUGCAUGGCUGUCGUCAGCUCGUGUCGUGAGAUGUUGGGUUAAGUCCGCAACGAGCGCAACCCUUCUCCUUAUUUGCCAGCGGGUUAAGCCGGGAACUUUAAGGAUACUGCCAGUGACAAACUGGAGGAAGGCGGGGACGACGUCAAGUCAUCAUGGCCCUUACGGCCAGGGCUACACACGUGCUACAAUGGUCGGUACAAAGGGUUGCUACCUCGCGAGAGGAUGCUAAUCUCAAAAAGCCGAUCGUAGUCCGGAUCGCAGUCUGCAACUCGACUGCGUGAAGUCGGAAUCGCUAGUAAUCGCGGAUCAGAAUGCCGCGGUGAAUACGUUCCCGGGCCUUGUACACACCGCCCGUCACACCAUGGGAGUUUGUUGCACCAGAAGUAGGUAGUCUAACCGCAAGGAGGACGCUUACCACGGUGUGGCCGAUGACUGGGGUGAAGUCGUAACAAGGUAGGCGUAGAUGA
rnacentral:rRNA from 1 species